CGUUGAAACACUGGUUCUCAUAUGAUCACCAAAGUUAAACAACAUUGAGCCUGGUCAAUACUUACAUGGGUGACCACUUGGGAUUACGAGGUUC